CCCCUCCUACGGGAGGCAGCAGUGGGGAAUAUUGCACAAUGGGGGAAACCCUGAUGCAGCGACGCCGCGUGAGCGAAGAAGUAUUUCGGUAUGUAAAGCUCUAUCAGCAGGGAAGAAAAAUGACGGUACCUGAGUAAGAAGCACCGGCUAAAUACGUGCCAGCAGCCGCGGUAAUACGUAUGGUGCAAGCGUUAUCCGGAUUUACUGGGUGUAAAGGGAGCGCAGACGGCAAGGCAAGUCUGAUGUGAAAGUCCGAGGCUCAACCUCGGGACUGCAUUGGAAACUGUCUGGCUAGAGUGCAGGAG
rnacentral:rRNA from 1 species